rnacentral:rRNA from 1 species
GACGAACGCUGGCGGCGUGCUUAACACAUGCAAGUCGAACGAAGUGGCGAACGGGUGAGUAACGCGUAAUCAACCUGCCCUUCAGAGGGGGACAACAGUGGGAAACGAAGGCUAAUACCGCAUACUGAAGGGGGGGAUGGCGUCGGAAUAGCUAGUUGGAGGGGUAACGGCCCCCCAAGGCGAUGAUCAGUAGCCGGUCUGCGAGGAUGAACGGCCACAAUGGGACUGAGACACGGGCCAGACUCCUACGGGAGGCAGCCGUGGGGAAUCUUCCGCAAUGGAGGAAAGUCUGACGGAGCAACGCCGCGUUGGUGAUGACGGCCUUCGGGGUGUAAAGCUCUGUUAAUCGGGGCGCGGUACCGGAAUAGAAAGCCACGGCUAACUACGUGCCAGCAGCCGCGGUAAUAC